UUGCAGAGAGAUGGCGCAAGGGAUAUCUGAGCUCUUGAGUGAGGGCCUGAAGACGCUCCCUAACCCCUUCGUCCUACGGGGAAAAGGCAACAGGUCCGAUCUCCAGAGACGCCUGUGAACGGCCACAGCAGCUUCUGAUAAAGCCCCAACACGUUCCCUUUGGAACUAAGAGCUGAAAAGGUGUCAUGUCCUCCUGCCCGGCUCUUGCUGUUCCAAGAAAUUUCCACCCUGGGACCAGAUAUACGUGUAGCUAGCAUCUGAGGCAGGACAAACAAGCCAUCUUGCAGAAAUCAAAUGCGGCCCAUGUUUGACAGUCUGCAAG